rnacentral:rRNA from 1 species
CAAUAGCGUAUAUUUAAGUUGUUGCAGUUAAAAAGCUCGUAGUUGGAUUUUGGGUCGGGGGCACCGGUCCGCCGUUCCGGUGUGCACUGGUGGCCCCUUCCUUUCUGCCGGGGACGUGCGUCGCACUUAAUUGGGUGGCGUUCGGAGCCGGCGUUGUUACUUUGAAAAAAUUAGAGUGUUCAAAGCAAGCCAUCGCUCUGAAUACAUUAGCAUGGAAUAACAUGAUAGGACUCCGGUCUUAUUUUGUUGGUUUCCGAGACUGGAGUAAUGAUUAAGAGGGACAGUCGGGGGCAUCCGUAUUUCAUUGUCAGAGGUGAAAUUCUUGGAUUUAUGAAAGACGAACUUCUGCGAAAGCAUUUGCCAAGGAUGUUUUCAUUAA